rnacentral:lncRNA from 1 species
UCUCCUGAUCCUCUUCAGUCUUCAUUUCUCUUUCUCUCUCUUCAUUUCCUCCUUUCUCUGUAUAGCUUCUUUCGUUCUCUCUUUCACUCCCUCCCGCUGCCUUUGAAUUUAUGUAUUUUGCAGCAUGGCCAGCGAAGAAGCACCAAGAACCUUUGAAGAGCAGAAUGAGUCAAACUUAAUCGGCAAUAGCAUAAACAAAUCUAAUUUUCCCGUUUAUAGUUUUCGCUUGCUUUUCUUUUGAUAUUGCUAUCCUCUGAAUCAUGAUUCACACUCACACAUACAAUAUUUUUCAAUACUUGCAGAUGUCGCCCAACAAUGUGGAAUCUGGGGAAAGUAAUGAAAACUCAUGAGUCGUGAUCCAAUUUGCUUCUUGAUUUUGAUAUGUUCCAUGAUGUUUUUAAUUGUUAGAUUGUUAGUUUUUUCUAUAUGGUCUAUUAAUUACCUAUAGUUGUGUGCACUCGUGUGAAUUUAAUUAGAAAGAUAGUAAAUAAUGUGGACCAAUACUUGACUUCAAAACCAUGUCCCUCUGCAACUAUGUAGACACCAAACAUAUGUCAAUUUUACUUUGACUUGCUUUUGUGUUUUUGUAUGAGGAGUAAUUAAUAUUUUUUGAGGUUUGUAAACAGACAACUGAUGAUACAGAGGUAGUAGGACAACAACAACCUAAUCAUCCAAUACAUAAUAUUGACUUGUAGAUACUCUCUCUGUUGGAACGCCAUGGGGUAAGUAAUGUAAACUCAUGAGUCGUGAUCCGAUCUGCUUCUUGAUUUUGAUAUGUCCCAUGAUGUUUUUAAUUGUUAGAUUGUUAGUUUUUCUUAUGAGGAAGAAUUGAACCCGCAAUCUUGAUGUGUUAGUUUUUUCAAUAUGCUCUAUUAAUUUCCUAUAGUUGUGUGCACUCGUCUAAAUUUAAUUAGAAAACUUACAAUUUGGGUUUGUCAUUAUUUUUCCCAGAAAAUACAAUUGUAGACUAAUAUAGGUUCAUUAUCAUAAUCACUGCUGCUAGCUGGCACAUCAAUUUUUACCCUUGCCAAUUUUUCUACUAUAAGUUUUUUUAUAUUUUCUAUGACACAAAAUUUUCUUAUUUAUUAAUUACUUAGACGAGAUAUUUAUAUAUCUAUUAGUAAUAUUCAUCCAAAUAUCUUAUCCUGAUGAUGGUGUAUAUGAAAAAAUGAAAAUAUCAAAAAAUUAGUGUUUAACUCUCGUCGGAGGAAUACCGAAUUCAUACACAUUAAUAAAGUACAUAGUAUAAUAUCACAAAAUAAACUAUGAUAUGAAUUAUUUGACCCUACAUUGGGGGAAAGAUACGCGGGUUAGGCUAAUUAACGAAGAGUAAUCCAUAACUGGACAGUUAUAGAGUAAUUCUUAAUUAAUUAGUCUAAAAAUUAUCAUUUUGCGUGCAACUAAAAAUUUAACAAAAUCAAUCUCUGAACCACGCUCAGGGUUUCAUUCUGAGCGUUUUGAUAUAUAUAUAUUGCCAACUUUCAAAAACGGGCCCCGACGGGUGCAGAGAAACGCGAGGAACUGGAAUCAUAGAAGCGGCACGCAAACCGAGGCAUGAUUUUAGUAUUCAAAAGGUCAAAUUUUUCUCUCCUUGUGGCUGAGUAUGAAGUCACAUCAAGGGGAAGAGGUGGGCCCCUUUUGCUCCACUCAAAAUGAGACAUGUGGCAUGGCUUUUACAAAAAGGAAAGAGAAAAUCUUUUUAAAAUAAAAGCCAAAUUCUCUCUCUCCAUUCAGAUUUCAGAAAAAAACUUUUCCUCCCCCUUCCCACAUUGCUUUUCUCUUCUUCUUCCUCUCCAUUGAAGCCUCCAUUAAAGCUCCAAAAUUGCUCAUCACUUCUACUCCAAAUUGCAAAAGGAAGCCAUUUUCGGAGUCGUGAAGCACACCUUUACGUUGUGGGGCUUCGAAUUUCAGGUAUGGGUGG